AUACGGAGGAUGCAAGCGUUAUUCGGAAUCACUGGGCGUAAAGGGUGCGUAGGCGGUUUGAUAAGUCUGAUGUGAAAUCCUAUGGCUCAACCAUAGAACUGCAUUGGAAACUGUCAGACUAGAAUACUGAAGGGGCAGAUGGAAUUAGUGGUGUAGGGGUAAAAUCCGUAGAUAUCACUAGGAAUACCGAAAGCGAAAGCGAUCUGCUGGGAAGUUAUUGACGCUGAGGCACGAAAGCGUGGGGAGCAAACGGGAUUAGAAACCCUAGUAGUCC
rnacentral:rRNA from 1 species